AGCGAACGCUGGCGGCAGGCUUAACACAUGCAAGUCGAGCGGGCAUCCUUGUGGUGUCCGCGGCCGACGGGUGAGUAACGCGUGGGAACGUGCCCUUCGGUUCGGAAUAACUCAGGGAAACUUGAGCUAAUACCGGAUACGUGCGAGAGCAGAAAGGUUUAUCUGCCGAAGGAUCGGCCCGCGUCUGAUUAGCUAGUUGGUGAGGUUAUGGCUCACCAAGGCGACGAUCAGUAGCUGGUCUGAGAGGAUGAUCAGCCACACUGGGACUGAGACACGGCCCAGACUCCUACGGGAGGCAGCAGUGGGGAAUAUUGGACAAUGGGGGCAACCCUGAUCCAGCCAUGCCGCGUGAGUGAUGACGGCCUUAGGGUUGUAAAGCUCUUUUCUCCGGGACGAUAAUGACGGUACCGGAGGAAUAAGCCCCGGCUAACUUCGUG
rnacentral:rRNA from 1 species